UACGGAGGGAGCUAGCGUUGUUCGGAAUUACUGGGCGUAAAGCGCACGUAGGCGGCUUUGUAAGUUAGAGGUGAAAGCCCAGGGCUCAACCCUGGAAUUGCCUUUAAGACUGCAUCGCUAGAAUUGUGGAGAGGUAAGUGGAAUUCCGAGUGUAGAGGUGAAAUUCGUAGAUAUUCGGAAGAACACCAGUGGCGAAGGCGACUUACUGGACACAUAUUGACGCUGAGGUGCGAAAGCGUGGGGAGCGAACAGG
rnacentral:rRNA from 1 species